GGUGUCGAGAGACUUAAUAGAGAAGCUGGAGGAAAAGCCAGCGCGGUCCCGCCACUGUAGCAGCGAGCAAAUCCGCAUUUUUGUCACUGGGGGCAGCCUUGGGAAGGCGCGGAGGAGCGAUGAACUGGAGCCAGGAGAACUGCCUGUUUGA
rnacentral:ncRNA from 1 species